UACAGAGGUCUCAAGCGUUGUUCGGAUUCAUUGGGCGUAAAGGGUGCGUAGGUGGCGCUGUAGGUCGGGUGUGAAAUUUCGGAGCUUAACUCCGAAACUGCAUUCGAUACUGCGGUGCUUGAGGACUGGAGAGGAGACUGGAAUUUACGGUGUAGCAGUGAAAUGCGUAGAGAUCGUAAGGAAGACCAGUGGCGAAGGCGGGUCUCUGGACAGUUCCUGACACUGAGGCACGAAGGCCAGGGGAGCAAACGGG
rnacentral:rRNA from 1 species